rnacentral:rRNA from 1 species
CGCGCAGCGAGAGGUGCUUGCACCUUUCAAGCGAGUGGCGAACGGGCGAGUAACACGUGGAUAACCUGCCUCAAGGCUGGGGAUAACAUUUGGAAACAGAUGCUAAUACCGAAUAAAACUUAGUAUCGCAUGAUAUCAAGUUAAAAGGCGCUACGGCGUCACCUAGAGAUGGAUCCGCGGUGCAUUAGUUAGUUGGUGGGGUAAAGGCUUACCAAGACAAUGAUGCAUAGCCGAGUUGAGAGACUGAUCGGCCACAUUGGGACUGAGACACGGCCCAAACUCCUACGGGAGGCUGCAGUAGGGAAUCUUCCACAAUGGGCGCAAGCCUGAUGGAGCAACGCCGCGUGUGUGAUGAAGGCUUUCGGGUCGUAAAGCACUGUUGUAUGGGAAGAAAUGCUAAAAUAGGGAAUGAUUUUAGUUUGACGGUACCAUACCAGAAAGGGACGGCUAAAUACGUGCCAGCAGCCGCGGUAAUACGUAUGUCCCGAGCGUUAUCCGGAUUUAUUGGGCGUAAAGCGAGCGCAGACGGUUGAUUAAGUCUGAUGUGAAAGCCCGGAGCUCAACUCCGGAAUGGCAUUGGAAACUGGUUAACUUGAGUGUUGUAGAGGUAAGUGGAACUCCAUGUGUAGCGGUGGAAUGCGUAGAUAUAUGGAAGAACACCAGUGGCGAAGGCGGCUUACUGGACAACAACUGACGUUGAGGCUCGAAAGUGUGGGUAGCAAACAGGAUUAGAUACCCUGGUAGUCCACACCGUAAACGAUGAAUACUAGGUGUUAGGAGGUUUCCGCCUCUUAGUGCCGAAGCUAACGCAUUAAGUAUUCCGCCUGGGGAGUACGACCGCAAGGUUGAAACUCAAAGGAAUUGACGGGGACCCGCACAAGCGGUGGAGCAUGUGGUUUAAUUCGAAGCAACGCGAAGAACCUUACCAGGUCUUGACAUCCUUUGAAGCUUUUAGAGAUAGAAGUGUUCUCUUCGGAGACAAAGUGACAGGUGGUGCAUGGUCGUCGUCAGCUCGUGUCGUGAGAUGUUGGGUUAAGUCCCGCAACGAGCGCAACCCUUAUUGUUAGUUGCCAGCAUUCAGUUGGGCACUCUAGCGAGACUGCCGGUGACAAACCGGAGGAAGGCGGGGACGACGUCAGAUCAUCAUGCCCCUUAUGACCUGGGCUACACACGUGCUACAAUGGCGUAUACAACGAGUUGCCAACCUGCGAAGGUGAGCUAAUCUCUUAAAGUACGUCUCAGUUCGGACUGCAGUCUGCAACUCGACUGCACGAAGUCGGAAUCGCUAGUAAUCGCGGAUCAGCACGCCGCGGUGAAUACGUUCCCGGGUCUUGUACACACCGCCCAUCACACCAUGGGAGUUUGUAAUGCCCAAAGCCGGUGGCCU